CUGUGUCCAGGAUGGACCCACAUCACCAUCUGCUGGGAAAAGGCUGACCAUCUACAUGUUGGAAUCAUGUCCUGUAGAUGAACAAGUCCAGAUGGCGCAUGAUCACUUGUUGCCUCUUGUUGAGAAAAUCCACCCGAACUUGGCAAAUAAGAUCACCUGGAUGCUUGCAGGGAACCAGAACAAUUACGAAAUCAUGAAUAUGAUCAGCGAUCCUGAGCUCCUGUAUGCCAAAGUGGAUGAAAUGGACGCGAUCCUGAAGGCGAGGGAAGCUGGUCUCAAGCCGG